rnacentral:lncRNA from 1 species
UCUCUUCUUCGUUUCAAAGCAGUUUCAAAGUCAUGGAAUAUGAUGGGGUUCGAUUGGCCACCAUAGAAACAUGCUCAAGAUUUCCAGCUUCAAGAGUUGUGCUUUUCUCUAAUUUGUGUGUGUAUCUUCUGGAGAGAGAGAGGGAGAAUCAUCCCCAUUUUUUGUCUACAUGCCUUCCCUCCUAUUUAUGUUUUUCCCUCUUUGUAUUGGGAUACGUGCCUUGGUUGGGGUGAGUGCCCAAGAGAGAGAAAGAGAUGAGGAGUGAGCUGAUGGGCUUGGGAGAGAGGGUGAGCUGGUGGGCUUUUGGGCCUGGUCAAAUCAGCCCAGAUCAUCUACUCCCCCUAGUUCGUCGCGAGAAGUGCGAAGUAACUGGUCGCUGGUGGGCUUUUGGGCCUGGUCAAAUCAGCCCAGAUCAUCUACUCCCCCUAGUUCGUCGCGAGAAGUGCGAAGUAACUGGUCGGGGCGAACUAAUAGCUCGAAAAUGCUAUGACGAGGUGAAGAGGCGCGAAGUAACUAGUCACCUCGAGUUUGAUUUUUCUCUCUUCUCUGUUUUGGAACGAGAUGUCGUUCUUCGCUUUAUGAAUAAAUUACCGGUUACUUCAGUUCUUUCCUAAUGCCAUGCUUUUUUUUUCACUAUGUAUUUUGCCUCGUCUUACUCCUCAUUCGGAUGCGAGAUACCUCAUCUUACUCAGGAAGCGAGAUACCUCGUCUUACUUCGGAUGCGAGAUACCUCGUCUUACUCAGGAUGCGAGAUACCUCGUCUUACUUCGGAUGCGAGAUACCUCGUCUUACUCAUCUUUCGGAUGUGAGAUACCUCGUCUUACUUCGGAUGCGAGAUACCUCAUCUUACUUCAGAGGCAAGAUAUCUCGUCUUACUUCGGAUGCGGGAUACCUCGUCUUACUUCGGAUGCGAGAUACCUCAUCUUACACAUCUUUCAGAUGUGAGAUACCUCGUCUUACACAUCUUUCGGAUGCGAGAUACCUCGUCUUACUUCGGAUGCGAGAUACCUCGUCUUACUCAUCUUUCGGAUGCGAGAUACCUCGUCUUACUUCGGAUGCGUGAUACCUCGUCUUACAUCGGAUGCGGGAUAUAUCGUCUUACUUCCGAUGCUAGAUACCUCGUCUUACACAUCUUUCGGAUGCAAGAUACCUCGUCUUAUACAUCUUUCAGAUGCGAGAUACCUCGUCUUACUUCGGAUACGAGAUGCCUCGUCUUACUCAGGAUGCGAGAUACCUCGUCUUACACAUCUUUCAGAUGCGAGAUACCUCAUCUUACUUCGGAUGCGAGAUACCUCAUCUUACUCAGGAUGCGAGAUACCUCGUCUUACUCUUCUUUCGGAUGCGACAGGGUCCCGGAACAAUGGGGCUCUCACCCUCCCCGGCGCCCCUCUCCAGGGGACUUGAUAAUAAUGCCAUUCACAUAGAAGACACAUAUACAUACACUGCCUUUCCUAUAUCGUUUUGAUGACAAACCCAAUAAAACCUUUGGUCUUCCAACGAAAAGGCCCAAAGAACUGCACGGCAAACAAAAUUAAUUAAGCACAACCCCAAAAUUAUUUGACCAAAGUUCACCAAACAAUAGCAGACAAAGAAAAAAUCGGAAAUAUGCGAUACAAAAAAAAAAGACAUUUUAAAUUCUGAGAAACUUCCCUUUGUUCAGAUUUCUUUCUAUCGAGUCAAAUCUACUCAACUCUUAGCCUCAAUAUGUCCCACAGACGGCACCAUUUGAUGGUGUUCGAUUGGCCACGAUAGAAACGUGCUCACGAUUUCCCGCUUCAAGAGUUGUGCUUUUCUCUGAUUUGUGUGUGUAUCUUCUGAAGAGAGAGAGCGAGAAUCAUCCACCUUUUUUCUCUACCUGCCUUCCCUCCUAUUUAUGCUUUUCCCUCUUUGUAUUGGGAUAUGUGCCUUGGGUGGGGUGAGUGCCCAAGAGAAAGCAAGAGAUAAGGAGUGAGCUGAUGGACUUGGGAGAGAUGGUGAGCUGGUGGGCUUUUGGGCCUAGUCAAAUCAGCCCAGAUCAUCUACUCACCCUAGUUCGUCGCGAGAAGUGCGAAGUAACUGGUCGGGGCGAACUAAUCGCUCGAAAAUGCUUUGACGAGGUGAAGAGGCGCGAAGUAACUAGUCACCUCGAU